rnacentral:rRNA from 1 species
UUUAAUUCGAAGCAACGUGAAGAACCUUACCAGGUCUUGACAUCCUCUGACAACCCUAGAGAUAGGGCUUUCCCCUUCGGGGGACAGAGUGACAGGUGGUGCAUGGUUGUCGUCAGCUCGUGUCGUGAGAUGUUGGGUUAAGUCCCGCAACGAGCGCAACCCUUGAUCUUAGUUGCCAGCAUUCAGUUGGGCACUCUAAGGUGACUGCCGGUGACAAACCGGAGGAAGGUGGGGAUGACGUCAAAUCAUCAUGCCCCUUAUGACCUGGGCUACACACGUGCUACAAUGGAUGGUACAAAGGGCUGCAAACCUGCGAAGGUAAGCGAAUCCCAUAAAGCCAUUCUCAGUUCGGAUUGCAGGCUGCAACUCGCCUGCAUGAAGCCGGAAUCGCUAGUAAUCGCGGAUCAGCAUGCCG